rnacentral:rRNA from 1 species
GAUGAACGCUGGCGGCGUGCCUAAUACAUGCAAGUCGAGCGAACGGACGAGAAGCUUGCUUCUCUGAUGUUAGCGGCGGACGGGUGAGUAACACGAGGAUAACCUACCUAUAAGACUGGGAUAACUUCGGGAAACCGGAGCUAAUACCGGAUAAUAUUUUGAACCGCAUGGUUCAAAAGUGAAAGACGGUCUUGCUGUCACUUAUAGAUGGAUCCGCGCUGCAUUAGCUAGUUGGUAAGGUAACGGCUUACCAAGGCAACGAUGCAUAGCCGACCUGAGAGGGUGAUCGGACACACUGGAACUGAGACACGGUCCAGACUCCUACGGGAGGCAGCAGUAGGGAAUCUUCCGCAAUGGGCGAAAGCCUGACGGAGCAACGCCGCGUGAGUGAUGAAGGUCUUCGGAUCGUAAAACUCUGUUAUUAGGGAAGAACAUAUGUGUAAGUAACUGUGCACAUCUUGACGGUACCUAAUCAGAAAGCCACGGCUAACUACGUG